rnacentral:lncRNA from 1 species
UGUUGCUACAAAUCAAUAUAUUCUUAAUUUUUAUACUCUGUCUUUUCCAGCACAGGCUCCCUCCACUCUGUUGUUCCAUUUAUCUCUGUUGAUCCUGUGUUGGAGGCACAACACGGAGACCCCAGGAGAUGGGCAACAGCAGCAGGAAUUGCCCUGAGGGGCUUGUUUUGGCUGGGAACUGGGAUCAGCACAGCCAGGGAAUCACAUUAAAUAAAUAUAUAGCGAGCUGCAGUGUCACAACAAGUAGAUGUACAAUUACGAAGACAAAAUACCCCAAGGAAAUCAACACAAGGCUUAUUAAUAUCCAGGCCUGCAGAAGACAACUGUCAGACAAUUGGUCAACAAGCUCGAGAUCAGCUGAGACAGACGGUGUGGAUUGAUUGAAAUCAGCCAAGUAACUGCUUUUAAUCGUGAUUUAAAUCAAAAAGUGAGAAACCUUGGUUUAACUAAUUGAUUUUUAAAUUUGCUUUGCAUUUGUGCUUUUUCAGUUUCCUAAAUAAAUGUCUGUCCCCUUCGGGGGUGUCCUGG